CGGACGGGGGCGCGCAACCUGCCGCCGGCCGGGACCCUGCGGCGAGUGCCGGAACCCGGCCGGGCGGGGCCUCCCGCGGCCCGGCCGCUUUAUUGGGUCACCGGCCUCGCCCACCGCCCUGCCAGCCGCAGCCAUCUCGGCGGGCGCGCCGCUCGCAGCCAGCGCCCCAUCCCCAGGCCUGCACGAGCUGAACACUGCCCCGAGAAUGCAACAGAACUUCAGCUCUGUCCCAAGGUCGUCAGCCACAGCUCCAAGUUUCUUAGCAUCAGCUUUUUCUGAACAAAAUAGUGCAUCCUGCUGGAAUCACUACUGUAAACUGAGUAUAAAGGAAAAUAAACCCUCUUUUUCUUAUCCACUAUGUUCCCUACUCCCGUGCUUUUCCCAGUGCUCCAG
rnacentral:lncRNA from 1 species